rnacentral:rRNA from 1 species
GGACGAACGCUGGCGGCGUGCCUAACACAUGCAAGUCGAGCGAGAGACUUCGGUCUCUAGCGGCGGACGGGUGAGUAACACGUGGGUAACCUGCCUUAUAGAGGGGGAUAGCCUUCCGAAAGGGAGAUUAAUACCGCAUAAGAAGUAAAGGCCACAUGGUCUUAGCUUUAAAGGAGUAAUCCGCUAUAAGAUGGACCCGCGGCGUAUUAGCUAGUUGGAGAGGUAAAGGCUCACCAAGGCGACGAUACGUAGCCGACCUGAGAGGGUGAUCGGCCACAUUGGAACUGAGAUACGGUCCAGACUCCUACGGGAGGCAGCAGUGGGGAAUAUUGCACAAUGGGGGAAACCCUGAUGCAGCAACGCCGCGUGAGUGAAGAAGGCCUUCGGGUUGUAAAGCUCUGUUGUAGGGGACGAUAAUGACGGUACCCUACAAGGAAGCCACGGCUAACUACGUGCCAGCAGCCGCGGUAAUACGUAGGUGGCAAGCGUUGUCCGGAAUUACUGGGCGUAAAGGAUGCGUAGGCGGAUUAUUAAGUCAGAUGUGAAAUUCCCGAGCUUAACUUGGGAGCUGCAUUUGAAACUGAUAGUCUGGAGUGCAGGAGAGGUAAGUGGAAUUCCUAGUGUAGCGGUGAAAUGCGUAGAGAUUAGGAAGAACACCAGUGGCGAAGGCGACUUACUGGACUGUAACUGACGCUGAGGCAUGAAAGCGUGGGGAGCAAACAGGAUUAGAUACCCUGGUAGUCCACGCUGUAAACGAUGAAUACUAGGUGUGGGAGGUAUCGACUUCUUCUGUGCCGCAGUUAACACAAUAAGUAUUCCGCCUGGGGAGUACGGUCG